rnacentral:rRNA from 1 species
UUCGCCCUUAGAGUUUGAUCCUGGCUCAGGACGAACGCUGGCGGCGUGCUUAACACAUGCAAGUCGAACGAGAAUCUACGGAUAGAGGAUUCGUCCAAUUGAAGUAGAGGAAAGUGGCGGACGGGUGAGUAACGCGUGAGGAACCUGCCUUGGAGAGGGGGACAACAGCUGGAAACGGCUGCUAAUACCGCAUGAUGCAUAUGGGAGACAUCUCCUGUAUGCCAAAGAUUUAUCGCUCUGAGAUGGUCUCGCGUCUGAUUAGCUAGUUGGUGAGGUAACGGCCCACCAAGGCGACGAUCAGUAGCCGGACUGAGAGGUUGACCGGCCACAUUGGGACUGAGAUACGGCCCAGACUCCUACGGGAGGCAGCAGUGGGGAAUAUUGGGCAAUGGGCGCAAGCCUGACCCAGCAACGCCGCGUGAAGGAAGAAGGCUUUCGGGUUGUAAACUUCUUUUAAGGGGGAAGAGCAGAAGACGGUACCCCUAGAAUAAGCCACGGCUAACUACGUGCCAGCAGCCGCGGUAAUACGUAGGUGGCAAGCGUUGUCCGGAAUUACUGGGUGUAAAGGGUGUGUAGGCGGGACUGCAAGUCAGAUGUGAAAACUAUGGGCUCAACUCAUAGCCUGCGUCUGAAACUGUGGUUCUUGAGAGUGGGAGAGGUAAAUGGAAUUCCUGGUGUAGCGGUGAAAUGCGUAGAUAUCAGGAGGAACACCGGUGGCGAAGGCGAUUUACUGGACCACAACUGACGCUGAGACACGAAAGCGUGGGGAGCAAACAGGAUUAGAUACCCUGGUAGUCCACGCUGUAAACGAUGAAUGCUAGGUGUGGGGACCGAAAAGGUUUCCGUGCCGCAGUUAACACAAUAAGCAUUCCACCUGGGGAGUACGGCCGCAAGGUUGAAACUCAAAGGAAUUGACGGGAGCCCGCACAAGCAGUGGAGUAUGUGGUUUAAUUCGACGCAACGCGAAGAACCUUACCGGAGCUUGACAUCCUGCUGACGGUCCGAGUAAUGUUGGACGUUCCUUCGGGACAGCAGAGACAGGUGGUGCAUGGUUGUCGUCAGCUCGUGUCGUGAGAUGUUGGGUUAAGUCCCGCAACGAGCGCAACCCUUAUUGUCAGUUGCUACGCAAGAGCACUCUGGCGAGACUGCCGUUGACAAAACGGAGGAAGGUGGGGACGACGUCAAAUCAUCAUGCCCCUUACGCCCCGGGCUACACACGUACUACAAUGGCGCAAACAAAGGGAAGCGAUACCGCGAGGUGGAGCAAAUCCCAUAAAAGGCGUCCCAGUUCGGAUUGCAGGCUGAAACCCGCCUGUAUGAAGUUGGAAUUGCUAGUAAUCGUAGAUCAGCAUGCUACGGUGAAUACGUUCCCGGGCUUUGCACACACCGCCCGUCA